CACGCAAUCGUUGAAUGCCGUUCCAAGGUGGAUCGAAUCACAAAAGAGGAAAAGUAAAAAACGGUUAGGUGCCACAUGUGGAUACUUUAGUUGUCGAAAAGGAUUAGAAAAUAACGUUACCUCUUCAUGCAUGAAAAGGAAGGCAUGAACAAGGAAUAGAUGCGUACAUGCGACACCACACGCAUCUAUCGUUCGGUGGAACAUAUCGAGUAGGAAGCUGUAUCUACCCAUUUUAGGUACAUGUCUAUGGGAAGCAAAGGUAGAAAAAUCAACACCAUCGUAGCCACCAAUCCAUGUAACAGUGGA
rnacentral:lncRNA from 1 species